rnacentral:rRNA from 1 species
UACGAAGGGGGCUAGCGUUGUUCGGAAUCACUGGGCGUAAAGGGUGCGUAGGCGGCCGAUCAAGUCGGGGGUGAAAGCCUGUGGCUCAACCACAGAAUUGCCUUCGAUACUGUUUGGCUUGAGACCGGAAGAGGUUAGUGGAACUGCGAGUGUAGAGGUGAAAUUCGUAGAUAUUCGCAAGAACACCAGUGGCGAAGGCGGCUGACUGGUCCGGUUCUGACGCUGAGGCACGAAAGCGUGGGGAGCAAACAGG